rnacentral:rRNA from 1 species
CCAGCAUUUAGUUGGGCACUCUAAAGUGACUGCCGGUGCAAGCCGGAGGAAGGUGGGGAUGACGUCAAAUCAUCAUGCCCCUUAUGACCUGGGCUACACACGUGCUACAAUGGAUAGUACAAAGGGUCGCGAAGCCGCGAGGUGGAGCUAAUCCCAUAAAACUAUUCUCAGUUCGGAUUGUAGGCUGCAACUCGCCUACAUGAAGCCGGAAUCGCUAG